AUGUUAGCGGCGGACGGGUGAGUAACACGUGGGUAACCUGCCUGUAAGACUGGGAUAACUCCGGGAAACCGGGGCUAAUACCGGAUGGUUGUUUGAACCGCAUGGUUCAGACAUAAAAGGUGGCUUCGGCUACCACUUACAGAUGGACCCGCGGCGCAUUAGCUAGUUGGUGAGGUAACGGCUCACCAAGGCAACGAUGCGUAGCCGACCUGAGAGGGUGAUCGGCCACACUGGGACUGAGACACGGCCCAGACUCCUACGGGAGGCAGCAGUAGGGAAUCUUCCGCAAUGGACGAAAGUCUGACGGAGCAACGCCGCGUGAGUGAUGAAGGUUUUCGGAUCGUAAAGCUCUGUUGUUAGGGAAGAACAAGUGCCGUUCAAAUAGGGCGGCACCUUGACGGUACCUAACCAGAAAGCCACGGCUAAUUACGUGCCAGCA
rnacentral:rRNA from 1 species